UUUGAGUGACACUAUGAAAGAGAGAGGAUGUGAGGGUUUUCUCUGCUGAGCUUUCAGAGCAACAUUUCAUUGCUGAAUAAUAAAGUGUGGUAGCCAUUCUUGUCUCUACAGUCGGUCCAUCAUUUCAGAAACAACAAAUAAUUCAGUGUUUAACACAAUGGCUCAUAUGUUAUUCUCACGUCAUUCAAAUUCAUGGGAUGAUUUUCAACAAGACAGUCUGUCU